AUGUCUGACAAGCCAUGCUGCUCUCACAGUACACACCUUGUUCACACACAGCGAAAUAUACAUUGUGGACCAAAGAGGAAACUGACAACACACAGACAGAAGAAGACAGAGAAGGUCACUUCUGAUCGCUGUAGUGCCUCAGUUCAAGCAGCACACAUGAACCGAUUGAUUCAUAUUUAAUUGAAGCGCAAAAUAAAAGAUGUCACACGUCUUUUUACAACAUUUUUCAAAUUUUAAGUCCACCGAAGUUAAUCUACUCUCCUGUCUACCGUAUUUUCUGCACCAUAAGUUGCACUGGAUUAUAAGGCACAGUCUCAAAACAGUGAGUUUAGUUGAACUUUAUUCUACUAUUUAACAAUACACUCACAUUAUUUUUUAAUCAAUCUUCUCCCACAGAUCCAUCAAAGUCCUCAUCUUCUGUGUCUGAGUUGAACAGCUGGGCAACAGCUUUUGAACAGCUUUCUUCAUCAAACAUGCCGGGUUCCCUCUCAUCAUGGUUGAUCGCUGCCAGCGUACGUAGUGUACGUAUUAUGUCCCUGUGUCAGCGGGAAAUGGUCCGACAGUCAGGUAAACGACCUUGUUGCAAAAACCCUUUUAGCGUAAAUAAUCAAUUGCUAUUUGCAGUUAAUGUAGCCUACUUUGUGUAAAUGGCAUCUAUCGCUAAUUUUUAUCUCGCUGCUCGCUGACAUCUAUAUUUUACAACAAACGCGCCUUUGAAUACCCUCUUCAACAGUGACAUCUAGCGGUAAACUGUUAUUACGUUAUAAUUGAGGUACUAGGCAAUGGCAAUGACUGAAUGAAACAAGAAUAUCACUUUUAUUUGUUAUAAUAUUACUAUUCUUUGUUAUAUUUACAGAUGACUGUUGUGAAGAUGGAAGAGUGCAGGAUCUACAAUUACACUAAUAAUAAAAUUUUUGAAGUAGUUUGAUUUUGUUUCGCUUUCUGCCAUGUUUUGAAUGUGAUGCUCAGCCUACAACCCAAUGAUUGUGUUUGUAUUAUUAUUUUUUUAAUCAACAGUUAAAAAAUGACAAAACAAUGGACUGUAAGCUGAUUAUUUCUAUACAGUCGUAUGUUAUUAAAGUAAAUUAAAUUGUUAGUUGAAUGCUAGAAAUAACGUUCUGGGAUUAAUAAAACUCCUGGCAAACCAAAAACAAACCAUAAAAAAUAACGUUCUGGGAACCAAAAACUAACGUUCUGAGAACGUUAAGAAAACUUUCCUGGCAAACUAAAAACAAACCAUAAAAACUAACGUUCUGGGAACCAAACACUAACAUUCAGAAAACUUUCUGGGAACCAAAAACUAACGUUCUGAGAACGUUCUGGGAACCAAACACUAACGUUCUGAGACCAUUCUGGGAACCAUAAACUAACGUUCUGAGAACGUUAAGAAAACUUUCCUGGCAAACUAAAAACAAACCAUAAAAACUAACGUUCUGGGAACCAAACACUAACAUUCAGAAAACUUUCUGGGAACCAAAAACUAACGUUCUGGGAACCAAAAACUAACGUUCUGAGAACGUUCUGGGAACCAAAAACUAACGUUCUGAGAACGUUAAGAAAACUUUCCUGGCUAACCAAAAACAAACCAUAAAAAAUAACGUUCUGGGAACCAAAAACUAACGUUCUGAGAACGUUCUGGGAACCAAAAACUAACGUUCUGGGAACCAAAAAUUGUUAGCUGGGAGUGAAUUAUUCCCAUUGAAUUCUGCUGCAUUUAGUAUCUCAUAUUCAGAUAUCCAGUUCAGAGUUGUUAAUAACCAAUUUCGGUACUUAAGAGUUUCUAUGAUUUACAUCCCGUGGUAACUAGGAAGCUCCAGUCUGGAUCGAGAACACCUGAGAAGAGAUGAUGCUGACCCUCAGAGGACCUCAGAUGAUGCUAGCCCUGAAUCAACAAACAGAACUAACAAAUAUUGCUACAAGUGUGACUGCAUCAUAUAAUAAUUAUUAAUAAUGUUCAUCGUCUGGCUGACUACGUCUUCUAUUAAUUUUUCUAAAAAUCCUGUCAUACGUGCACAAACUGAGUCACGACUUAUAAGCUACUACUAAAUGUUGUAGAAACAUAAUUUUCGGUAAAGUUGCUUUGUAACGAUUUUAUUGUAAAAAGAGCUAUACAAAUAAACUUGAAUUGAAUUGAAAGAGUUGAC
ensembl:lncRNA